AGAAGACGAAGUCAAUUGGGUGGGCGACAAAGACAAAGCAACUAGUAUUAUACUGUUUCCAUUUCUUUACAGUAUAACAAGACUUUUCUCUGUACAAUAAACUCUGAUUCAUUCAAUUCAAUACAAUAUUUUGACUCCCUUUAUAGUCUUCUUCAGAUCACCAUUUGUUUUACACUUGACGAACUUUCUGAACAAACCCCAUCAAAGUAUUUACUUUUCCUGCCGAUUUUUGCUUCCAAGAAUAUCUCACGGUUAUAAGAAGGAUAACUAUGAGCUGCUUCGGUUGUUGUGACGAUGAUGACAUGCAUAAACCUGCUGAUCAUGGACCAUUCAUGACCAACAAUGCAGCAGGCUACAAUGCAGGGCAGCGUGUAACAGAAAGUGCGCAAAGGGAGACGCAGAAUGUUAACAUCCUGCCCAUUGCUGUUCCUUCUAUAACUGUUGAUGAGUUAAAAGACAUCACAGACAACUUUGGUACAAAAGCCUUGAUAGGUGAGGGAUCGUAUGGAAGGGUAUACCAUGGUGUCCUGAAAAGUGGACGUGCUGCAGCCAUUAAAAAAUUAGACUCAAGUAAGCAGCCUGAUCGAGAAUUUUUAGCUCAGGUCUCAAUGGUCUCAAGACUAAAAGAUGAAAAUGUGGUUGAAUUACUCGGUUAUUGUGUGGAUGGCGGUUUUCGUGUGCUAGCCUAUGAGUAUGCCCCGAAUGGAUCUCUUCAUGACAUUCUUCAUGGAAGGAAAGGCGUGAAAGGUGCACAGCCAGGUCCAGUAUUGUCAUGGGCUCAACGAGUUAAAAUUGCGGUUGGGGCUGCAAAAGGACUGGAGUACUUGCAUGAAAAAGCACAGCCUCAUAUCAUUCACCGUGAUAUUAAGUCUAGCAACAUUUUACUCUUUGAUGACGAUGUUGCUAAGAUCGCAGAUUUUGAUUUAUCAAAUCAAGCCCCUGAUAUGGCAGCACGUCUUCAU
rnacentral:misc_RNA from 1 species